UACGUAGGGGGCGAGCGUUGUCCGGAUUCAUUGGGCGUAAAGAGCUCGUAGGCGGUUCGGUAAGUCAGAUGUGAAAACUCCGGGCUCAACUCGGAGAGGCCAUCUGAUACUGCCGUGACUGGAGUUCGGUAGAGGAGUGUGGAAUUCCCGGUGUAGCGGUGAAAAUGCGCAGAUAUCGGGAGGAACACCAGCGGCGAAGGCGGCACUCUGGGCCGAUACUGACGCUGAGGAGCGAAAGCGUGGGGAGCGAACAGG
rnacentral:rRNA from 1 species